rnacentral:rRNA from 1 species
UGGCGGACGGGUGAGUAACGCGUGGGUAACCUGCCUUAUACAGGGGGAUAACAGUCAGAAAUGGCUGCUAAUACCGCAUAAGCGCACAGAGCUGCAUGGCUCAGUGUGAAAAACUCCGGUGGUAUAAGAUGGACCCGCGUUGGAUUAGCUUGUUGGUGGGGUAACGGCCCACCAAGGCGACGAUCCAUAGCCGGCCUGAGAGGGUGAACGGCCACAUUGGGACCGAGACACGGCCCAGACUCCUACGGGAGGCAGCAUG